AUGCGCGGUGCCAUACUUCCUUUACACAAGCGACCGGUCGUCCAAAAAUUAUCGGACACGAAAACCCAAAUUUAAGAGAGCAUCAUGGGAGGAGGAGCACCAGUUGACGAGUCUGCCUUCGCUCACUAUGUAGGCUUCAAGAAAUAUUUUAAUUCAGACACAGUCUUCGGGAAAAGAAACUGUGUGUAUGCAGUGUAUGGCAUUACGUUCUUUUCCAUCUGGUAUGUACGCCGGAGGAUGGCUAAAAAGAAGGCUCUAGUAGCAGCUGCAGCACCAUUGUCUUAGUCUCUUCUACCUCCAUAUCACCACCCCAGAUAGUCUCCUCUCAAGCAGCUAGCUAUCACUGAUCUCAGCAGUCGAGUUGCACCCAUCCAGAUUCAGUUACCCUGCUAAGCAGAAAUAGAAGUUCUCCCAAUGACUGGCCGACCUGGCUCAUGUUUUCUGCUCAGCAAGGCAUCUUUCAGCUUAGCAGAUAUGAAGGCUAUAAGUUACUAACACAAUCUCAUCAGCUUUGACUAGUGGAUAUAUGCAAGCAGUAUAUUUAAACUACCGGUUUUCCCACAUAUAAAACACACAGCUUGUUUUUGUCUGGUUUCAGUGAAGCUAACACAAUAUUGUUCUUAAAGCUGUCAAAAUGUUCAUUUGUUCUGAGCAAUAGACUGUGAUAUAUACUACCAAUUGAUUGCUGUUAUUUAAUUUGACGUGUUAAUUUAGAUAUUUCCAAGAACGACAUACAAGAAUUAAAAAAAAUAAAAUAUGAAAACAUCAUUUCAUCAUCAGUAUAAACAAUUCUAGGCAAUUCAUAAAUUGUACAAUCUUUAUUCAGAAACGGAACUGACCUUAUGUAACUACAAUAUUUUGUUUGUUAAUAUUGUGUGAGCAGGAACAAUGUUGGAGUUUUGAAUUCAGUUUUUAGACUUUGCAGUGUCUAUGCACAAACAAAGUGAAAACUGGUUGCAUUCAUUAAAGUAAAUCUUGAUUAAACUUUGUUCAAAUGAUUUCAAGAUUUGAACACUGGCUGUUCACAGAUUUUAAUUAAAAAGUAUCCCCAGAGUGUAUGAAAUGAAUGAUAUAAUAGUUGAGCAAAAUAAAUAUUAUUUUGUUGUUUGAAAAAGA